GCCCGCGUAAGAUUAGCUAGUUGGUGGGGUAAUGGCCUACCAAGGCGACGAUCUUUAGCUGGUCUGAGAGGAUGAUCAGCCACACUGGGACUGAGACACGGCCCAGACUCCUACGGGAGGCAGCAGUGGGGAAUAUUGGACAAUGGGCGCAAGCCUGAUCCAGCCAUGCCGCGUGAGUGAUGAAGGCCUUAGGGUUGUAAAGCUCUUUUAGCAGGGACGAUAAUGACGGUACCUGCAGAAAAAGCCCCGGCCAACUUCGUGCCAGCAGCCGCGGUAAUACGAAGGGGGCUAGCGUUGCUCGGAAUCACUGGGCGUAAAGCGCACGUAGGUGGGUCGUUAAGUCGGGGGUGAAAUCCCAGAGCUCAACUCUGGAACUGCCUUCGAUACUGGCGACCUUCGAGUUCGGGAGAGGUGAGUGGAACUGCGAGUGUAGAGGUGAAAUUCGUAGAUAUUCGCAAGAACACCAGUGGCGAAGGCGGCUCACUGGCCCGAUACUGACACUGAGGUGCGAAAGCGUGGGGAGCAAACAGG
rnacentral:rRNA from 1 species